UUUCUUUAAAAGUGGUACAGGCGCAGACAGCUGCCAAUUUGACAUCUUUGUGCAGUUUUCUAGACGUAUGUAUUUCAUUGAUUGGCACAAAAAAAAUAUAUGUGAUUUUUGAUUAUAUUUG